CAUGUUAAUGAAAGAAUUCAAGUUCAAAUGGAUUUAUUAAAAUGUUUUACAUACCAGGAAAAGUAACUUGGGUUAUAUUAUGGUUGAUGUAAACAGAACAAAAUGAAGACAUUUGAAUUUAAUAGAUUCUCCAAGGUAAGUUCUAUACCAUGCCUCUAUUGACAAAAUUUUGUUUAGGAUAACAAUGUCAAGUUUAAAUAAGAAUAUACAUUAUUUUAUAGAUGCUCAAGAGAUAUUUUACACUUGAAAAUGUUUUUCAAUCAUGGAUAUUUUGAAACUGCAUAAGAUUUCCAUUACAUAUGGUCUGCUAUAUGAGACAGGUCCUUUAACCAGAGCAGAGAGGGGGUUAGAAACUAGAUUAGGGAUAUUCUAUACAAGUUGAAGCAGAGGAAAGAGCAGCAUGGCAUCAUUUUUAACUCAGAUGUCUUUUGCCCAUUCUCAACAUACGUCAGAUUUAACAAGGUGUAAAAGAUGGAGAAUACAGGGUACAGAGGUGUAGAGGAUUUUCAUCCUCCAGAAUCUCUAGAGUAGAAGAUGCUUAGGUAAAACUGAGUAUGCUCUGUUUUCAGUCAACCAAACAUAUUUAUUAAUUGAAUGUAGAAGAAAGUGCUGACAGACUUAUGCAACUUACAGAAUUUUAGGUAUCUUCUAAGUCUUAGAAUAGAAGCCAAUUAUUCAGAGUUCUAAAAGUAUGCAUAAAAAAUAUUAUGGCACCAGUAGUACUAUUAACACAGUGCCAGAGUCAGCAGUAGCAAGGUGGAUAUGCUCAUAAAGCAGGAUGACAUCAAGCUCUUCUAAAGUUCUUGUGUAAAAUUCCUAGUGAGUGAGGAGGCUUAGCAGGAGAUCUGCAGAGUGGCAUUUAAUGGUCUUUUGCUGGGGCCAGUGCAAGUCACAGUCUAGGGACAGCAGAAUGUUUGAUGGGUGGCUGGUGACUAUGUUUGGCCCUAACUGGCCGGAGGCAGGGAAGAUUUACUCCUUUUUGAGUAAUCUUUGAUGACUUUCCACCUGGAGACUAUUAAAAACUCUGUUAUGUUACCAUGUUAAGAUAACUGUAAAUUCAUGACCAUGUUACUGUAUCAAAAGAAAUUAGGUUUUGUCAAAAGAAAUCCUUUGGUUUUUUCCGUUUGAAUUAUAUAUUACUGUAAAAGCUUUGACUUCUUGAAACUUGGUAAGACUCCAAAUAACUUAAAACUUUUUAAUAAUGGUCAGAUCACUUUACUUGGGUAAAUGAAUUCUUUUUACAUCCUCAGCAUUUCUUAAAGGAAAAGUUAUUUCUGUUCGUGUGUGUGUGUGUGUGUGUGUGUGCACGUGCACGUGUGUAUAUGUAUUUGUAUAGGUGUAUGUAUAUAUGUAUAGAUAGAUGAAAUAUGGUCCUUAGACAACUUUCUCUUAGAGAUUCUUCCUUCUGGUAUAUUGUACUCAACUCAGGUGCCAAAGGAUCUCAUCUUAAGACAUGUAAAUAUACAUUUAACUUCUUUAAGAAGUAGUUUAUCGGUUCAAUAAACUAAUCAUUGCGGAAGCUAAAUUGGGCUUUCGUGUAUCUAAAACUGAUGAGUUUUUUCUAAAUUGUUGUUGCCCAUUUAUUUGCCUUCAGUAUUAAGCUAAUGCAGGUAAAGCUUAGUAAGAAAGUCAUUGGAGAAAGAAAUUAUUAUUCUGACAAAAGACCAUAUUAUAUUUUUAACUUUCCAGAGGAAUUAUGCCAUACUAAAAAGCAAAAAUCAAGAAAUGUUCGAAUUUUGAAUUAUAAACUGUUUCUUAAAAAAAUAUUUUAUACGAGUUUUCUUUUAUUCUGAGAAAUCUUUAAAUAGUUUAUCUCCUUCCCCUUAGUUAAUAGAAUACACAGAGUUGUAAAUUUCCAUACCUUUUUUUUCCUACCAAUUUUUAUUGUAAAAAAGCAACUAGUAGGUUAUGCAAACAGUAUGAAAAUUCAGUUUUUUCAUAAAGGUGAAUUUAACUAUUUUCUCUGAUUGAAAUAUGAAAAUAAACCAAUUUUUAGAGAGAACUUAUUAACAAAUAACUCAAUUCUUAUUUUUUUCCUCCCAAGAUUGAAAACAAGAGGUGAAUAGAUGUCAGUAACACAUCUGAAGAUUAAUGUUAAAUUGUGGUGAGUUUAUAAAGUUUAAUUUGCUUUUCGGAUAGGAGCCCUGUAUAGAUGGGAUUAAAAAGAUGAGGUAUAGGUGACAAUCAUAAGUCUCAUUUUAACUUUUUUCCCCCACAGUAAAUUUAACCUAACUCUAAGCAGUAAAAUUAUAAUGACACUUUAAAGAAGUAAGCAGUACCUGUUCUCCAGUCAGUAAUGAGAUGAGGCACCUGUACCAGAAUAUAAAUCAACACAUUGCUUCCUUUAUCAAGAAAGUCUUGUUAUAAAAAAAUGUCGGCCAAUUAGUAACAAAAUAGAUUUUCAUUCUGGCACAAGUUCUUUCUUUCAUUUUGGAUGAGUCACGAAUCGUUCAUAGACCAUAUUUUGAAUAGGCUUGCUUUAAGCAACAUUUAUAACUGUUGGUAUUUUAUAACUGUUUACAUUUCCUCUGUUUAUUUUUGAAUUUUCCGUUGAUAUCUGACUUGGAAACUUGUCCUUAUUCAUUGUUGUGUAAACAAGUGUACUUUAAUUUCAUAUUGUAUUAAAAUUAAGUUAUCUGACUUCCAAUUUGGGGAAUUAUUAUCAGUUUAUAGUUUUAUAAAAGUUUAAAGAACUUUAAACUCAAGUAUAAAUUUCACACAAAUUACAACUGCUGUCCAUCUUAACUUUUAUUCAAUAAUCAUGUUGCUUAAGGCAUAUUGACCUACAUUGUUAUGAAUACUCUAGUAAAAAAACAAAUUACAUCUACUUAAUUAUCCUUUUGGUUAAGGAUUAAAAAGCACUUUUUUAAAUUUGUGGUUGUCUUUGUUUUAAAGUAUUUCUAAAUUUGUUACCUCCUCGCCUGGAGGCUCUCUAGCCUUUGACACACGUCAUCUUUGAACUCCCUUUCCAAUACAGGUAUGUUUAUUAGAUCCUUUCUGCUGGAAAAAACACAAAUUUGGAAACAGGAAGGUCUGUUCACUUCGUGAUUUUGUGUUCUUGAAGGCAUUCUUCCGUUUACUUUGCAUCAUGAAAUCUACAAUGUCCUAUCUUUAAAUAACUACCUAACUUCACUGAAACCCUGUCACCUCUAAAAGGAUUCAGAUGAGAUUGCAGAUGGAAGAUUCCCUUCACCGAGGAGAGCCACUAAGUAAACCCCUCCAACGGGGAUAGAAACGGAUAGCUUGGUCAAUGCCAUGUUACUGAAAUGAGUCUGUGAUUCUCCAAGUUUGUUCCACAUGAAGGUCACCUGGAAGGUACAUGUUACAGAACAGUCAUGAUGUUUUGAUUUCUAGAAGGGGGCUUCUGGCCAAUGGGGAUUGAAAAAUAGAAAAAGAAAAUGAGGCUAGAAACUCACCAAGCAUGACUUCAGUUCCUGGGACUGAGUUAUUGUUGAAAUCCUUUAAGAGAGGAAGAUUCCCCACUGACAGUACGAGAAGGAAGUGUAGGGGAAGAGGGAAGAGCAAAAGGCUUUGCUCUAAGAGGCCCAUCGGAUGUUGGUUACAGUGUGUUAUUAGGCAGAAAUAUAGGAGGGCAGGUGGCUUAGAGAGGAGCUGGUCCAUGAAAACAUCUUCAAGGAGGUUUUUUCAGUGAUAAAUUAGAAAGAUUAAGAGCAGGAGAAAAGAAAAAAAGACUUGAAGACAGGGCACAGGAACUAUCAAAACUGAAGCACAGAAAGCAAAAACUGGAGGGAAAAAAGUGGAUGGAGCCUCAGGGACCCAUGGAACAGGUCAAGCAAUCAGUGUGUGUGUGUGUGUGUGUGUGUGUGUGCGUGUGUGUGUGUGUAUGUGUAUGUACACAGGGUUCACUCUUUGUGUUGUACAUUCUAUAACAAAUGUAUAAUUACAUAUAUUCACCAUUAUGGUAUCAAUUUGUUAAUGUUGUAAUUAGAGAAAAGGUUAUAAAAACAAAAAUAAUGAUUUUGUAUACACUAUAGUGAUAAGUAUUUCAUAGACUGUAGUGAAAGGCUUUUGCUUAAUUUCACUGAAAGUAGAAUAACUCUGAGAGUUCAUUUCUAUUUAUUGCUUCUACUAAUAAUACCAAUCUUAACCUAGAAAAAUAUCCUCUUUCCCUGUUAGUUUAUGUAUGCAUCCUUUGGGUCUGAGAAGGCAAUUAAUUUCGUCAGGGUCAUUCUUCUCCAAAAUACAGAACAACUGGAAUAUUUUUGCAUCUGUUCAAUUUCACGCCUAUAACUCUGCCAGGUAUCUUUGGGGGAUACCAGGCCUGGGAGAGUCAGGGAAUGCUGUAGAGGAAGUGAUCUUUGAACUGGGACUUAAACAUAGUAAAAGAGAGAAUAGCAUUCAUGCAAACAAUAAUGGUUAAUACAUUAGAAGAUGAUACCAUGUGAAUUCUUGUUUUAAAAAAGAAUAGACCAUUUUAGAUGUUUGAGCAAAAGCUUAAUUGAUAUAAUGCCUUUGAGUUUGGCUGGAAUAAAGUUAAAGAAAAAUACAAAGGAAAAGUAAACUCAGUCAAAAUGUGUAGGAUCACAAUCUGAGUAGAAGUUCUAUGUUGCACAAUAUAGAGACUGCAUAGGGAAGAGAAUGGUGGGAGAUAAGCAUGGAUUGGUAAGGAGGAGGGAGUUGAAAGAUACUCUACUGAAAUAGAAUUGGAUGACACCAAACCCAAGAUGGAGUCAUUCUGCAUUAUUUUAGUGUUUGGUUUUUUUUUUUUUGCGGUACGUGGGCCUCUCACUG